rnacentral:rRNA from 1 species
AGAUUGAACGCUGGCGGCAUGCCUAACACAUGCAAGUCGAACGGGAGUAGCAAUACUCUAGUGGCGGACGGGUGAGGAAUACGUAGGAAUUUGCCCUUAAGUGGGGGAUAACCCGGGGAAACCCGGAUUAAUACCGCAUGACCUCGAAAGAGCAAAGUGGGGGAUCGCAAGACCUCACGCUUUUGGAGAAGCCUACGUCGGAUUAGCUAGUUGGUGAGGUAAUGGCUCACCAAGGCGACGAUCCGUAACUGGUCUGAGAGGAUGAUCAGUCACACCGGAACUGAGACACGGUCCGGACUCCUACGGGAGGCAGCAGUGGGGAAUAUUGGACAAUGGGCGCAAGCCUGAUCCAGCAAUGCCGCGUGUGUGAAGAAGGCCUUCGGUUGUAAAGACGACUU